UUUCUGUGCUGGAUGAACCCACGCUCCUCCCUCUAAUUCAUCUCUUCGUAUUUUUUAGGUUUGCGUUGGGGAUUGAUUCCUACCAGUGAAAUCUGGAAGGGAGCCGACCUACAGGGAGAGAGUUGGGAGAGCUAAUGAGUUGUUGAAGCCAGAUGAAAUUAUAGUGCAAAUUGACUCGAGGUCAAUUGCUGUGUCACCACUUCCUCACAACGUAAAGCUGGAAGAUGUUCAAUCUUUCUUUGGUCAGUAUGGCAAGGCUAACAUCGUAAGGCUUCCAAAACAUGUUUCUAACAAGGGGCAAUUCUCCGGCACAGCUUUGGUCGAAUUUUCGGAAGAAGUUGAAGCUAACAAUAUCAUGAAUAACAAACUUAGUUUUGCAGGAGCGGAUCUAGAAAUAAAAACAAAGAAGGAAUUUGAUGCUGAAAUGGAGGCUAAGAAAGAAGCUUAUGAGAAGUUGCACCCUAAUACACACCCUAAUAAGAAUGGUCAUGAUGAAGGAUACCCAAAAGGUCUGAUUCUGCCUUUAAGCUGAAGAAAAUUCUAGCUUAUGGUGACACAGAACAAAAUGGUGGGGACAAAGUUGAUAAUAGCGACAAUGCCAAAAAGGAAGGGGGUGGAAUCGGGGAAAGCUUGUGAAGAGAAGGCCCCUGAGAACACUGAUGCCAAGGAAGAGAAGUCAGAUGAUGCUGAGGAGUUGAAAGUGUCAGAUGCACAAGGGAGCGGGCUGCUCUCGGUGCUCGACUGGGAGCUCACCGACGAGGAGGAGUACCGCCGCGCGCGCCCAGGUGCAGCGCAAGCGCGUGGAGGCGAAGGGGUACGCCGUCGAGGGGAUCUCGGUGAGCGGGCACGAGACCUGCAUCACCGUGCCGUCCCUCAACGUCGCAUUUGACAUCGGCCGCGGCCCGCUCUUCGCCGUGCGCUAGGACCACCUCUUCAUCAUGCACGCCACCUCAACCACAUCGUCCUUCUGUCAGUGUCUUCAAUUGCUUUGCUGAAUAGUGGGUGGUAGCGGCUUGAGUGAAGAUCUUCGUAUCAAGGUUUGUUUACUACCGCGGAUUGCUUAUAUCACCUUGUUCUGUAAUUGUCUGUUACUUGCUGUACACAUACUGACUAGGCGUUGUGUCUGUGUUGCUGUUUUCCAUUUGCCUUUGCUGGUUAACUUACUUUUCAAGGACUAUUUCUUCUGCUCAGGAUGUGCCCUACUAUAUCUUUUGUGAUUCCUAUUUUGGAGACCCUGGCGGCGCAUGUUCCUUUGCCUGCUCUUUUGUACGUGUGUGAGAUAGCCGACGACGGGGCUGUGCUUGCUGGUGUUGAGCUUGAGCUUCCUACGAAUAGUGUGUCCCUGCUUCCAGAUAGGACUUUGCUAAAAUUCCUGCAGGGGGGCUAUGGGUUUGUUAUCAGGGACUACGGUAGGGGUGCAGAGCGGCGUCCCGCAUAGACCCACCAAAGUGCUUAAUUAGUACAGCUUUGCCUAACAGCAGCACAGCCUAAUUAGAACUAGCUUUUUCUAAUUUGUAUACGGAGCAGGACGGGUUCGGGCGCCGCCUUGCAUCCCUAGACUACGGGUUUCAAAGUGUUGGUUCAUACCAUUCAGGAGCAGUGCUGGUGCUAAGAACGCUGGCAAUGCAAAGAAAACAAGGCAGUAAUUCAUCUAUCGCCUAAGAUGACCAUGGAUGUACGGGUGAUAAUGUAAACAGUCCAGCUGCUGAUGAACAUGAUUUGUCGACAAGGAAGCUUAAUAGCUACCAAGCACAACUUCGUGCUC